rnacentral:rRNA from 1 species
AUACAUGCAGUCGAGCGAAUGGAUUAAGAGCUUGCUCUUAUGAAGUUAGCGGCGGACGGGUGAGUAACACGUGGGUAACCUGCCCAUAAGACUGGGAUAACUCCGGGAAACCGGGGCUAAUACCGGAUAACAUUUUGAACCGCAUGGUUCGAAAUUGAAAGGCGGCUUCGGCUGUCACUUAUGGAUGGACCCGCGUCGCAUUAGCUAGUUGGUGAGGUAACGGCUCACCAAGGCAACGAUGCGUAGCCGACCUGAGAGGGUGAUCGGCCACACUGGGACUGAGACACGGCCCAGACUCCUACGGGAGGCAGCAGUAGGGAAUCUUCCGCAAUGGACGAAAGUCUGACGGAGCAACGCCGCGUGAGUGAUGAAGGCUUUCGGGUCGUAAAACUCUGUUGUUAGGGAAGAACAAGUGCUAGUUGAAUAAGCUGGCACCUUGACGGUACCUAACCAGAAAGCCACGGCUAACUACGUGCCAGCAGCCGCGGUAAUACGUAGGUGGCAAGCGUUAUCCGGAAUUAUUGGGCGUAAAGCGCGCGCAGGUGGUUUCUUAAGUCUGAUGUGAAAGCCCACGGCUCAACCGUGGAGGGUCAUUGGAAACUGGGAGACUUGAGUGCAGAAGAGGAAAGUGGAAUUCCAUGUGUAGCGGUGAAAUGCGUAGAGAUAUGGAGGAACACCAGUGGCGAAGGCGACUUUCUGGUCUGUAACUGACACUGAGGCGCGAAAGCGUGNGGAGCAAACAGGAUUAGAUACCCUGGUAGUCCACGCCGU